rnacentral:rRNA from 1 species
GAUACCCUAUUAUUAUAAAUAUAAAGUUUAACUAGAUUAGUAGUAGUUAUGUUCUUGAAAAUUAAAAAUUUUGGCGGUUUUUUAGUCUAUUCAGAGGAACCUGUUCUAUAAAUGAUAGUCCACGAUUUAAAUGUCCUUUAUUAUUAAUUUGUAUAUCGUCGUAGUUUGAAUAUUUUAAAAGAAUUUAAAUAUUCAAAAUUUAUUUAAAUAAAAAAUAUCAGAUCAAGGUAUAGUUUAUAUAAAGGUAGAAAUGGGUUACAUUAAUUUUAAUUUUGGAUUAUUAAUUUAAAAUUAAUAUAAAAAAGGAUUUGAUAGUAAUUUUUAAAAAUUUUUAAAAUGAUUUUAGCUCUAAAAAAUGCACAUAUCG